AUGCACGCUGGCGGCGUGCUUCACACAUGCCAGUCGAACGGUGAAGGCGGAGCUUGCUCUGCUGGAUCAGUGGCGAACGGGUGAGUAACACGUGAGCAAUCUGCCCCUGACUCUGGGAUAAGCGCUGGAAACGGCGUCUAAUACUGGAUACGAGCCGCGAAGGCAUCUUCAGCAGCUGGAAAGAAUUUCGGUCAGGGAUGAGCUCGCGGCCUAUCAGCUUGUUGGUGAGGUAAUGGCUCACCAAGGCGUCGACGGGUAGCCGGCCUGAGAGGGUGACCGGCCACACUGGGACUGAGACACAGCCCAGACUCCUACGGGAGGCAGCAGUGGGGAAUAUUGCACAAUGGGCGAAAUCCUGAUGCAGCAACGCCGCGUGAGGGACGACGGCCUUCGAGUUAUAAACCUCUUUUAGCAGGGAAGAAGCGAAAGUGACGGUACCUGCAGAAAAAGCGCCGGCUAACUACGUG
rnacentral:rRNA from 1 species